rnacentral:rRNA from 1 species
GACGAACGCUGGCGGCGUGCUUAACACAUGCAAGUCGAACGGUAAGGCUCCAGCUUGCUGGGGUACACGAGUGGCGAACGGGUGAGUAACACGUGGGUGACCUGCCCUGCACUUCGGGAUAAGCCUGGGAAACUGGGUCUAAUACCGGAUAGGACCGCACCGUGAGGGUGUGGUGGAAAGUUUUUUCGGUGUGGGAUGGGCCCGCGGCCUAUCAGCUUGUUGGUGGGGUAAUGGCCUACCAAGGCGGCGACGGGUAGCCGGCCUGAGAGGGUGGACGGCCACAUUGGGACUGAGACACGGCCCAGACUCCUACGGGAGGCAGCAGUGGGGAAUAUUGCACAAUGGGCGGAAGCCUGAUGCAGCGACGCCGCGUGGGGGAUGACGGCCUUCGGGUUGUAAACUCCUUUCACCAUCGACGAAGGGUUUCUGACGGUAGAAGGAGAAGAAGCACCGGCUAACUACGUG